rnacentral:rRNA from 1 species
GAAUUUUAUAUAGAUUUGGUAAAAAAUUUAGUUUGAAAAUUAUUAUGUCUAUAUUUUAUUGGGAGGAUGAUUAAAUUAAAUAAACUUUAAAAUAUAUAAACCAUUAAUUUAUGAAUUAGAAUGUAAAGAAUGAUUAGAAUAAAUUUAAGAAGAAUUAAUUACCUUAGGGAUAACAGCGUUAUAUUUUUAGAGAGAUCUUAUUAAUAAAAAUGGUUGC